ACACCUCAACUCCUCAUGGUUUGCCGUGAUGAGCUUGGACUUUGGAGGUCUUGCUGGCCUGUGGUUGGCUCCUCUCAAACAAAUCAGCUUGCCAGUGUUUGGUGGCAUCGCAGGUGUGAUAAAUAUCUAUGCUUGUGGUUUCUGCCAGAUAACCUUUCAGUGAUGGAGGUUUCGCUGGAGCUCACAAACGUCUCUCCUCAGUGAGGACAGUGCUCUGAAU
rnacentral:misc_RNA from 1 species